AAAAAAAAAAAUCGUGAGCAUGUAAAUUACAUCAAUCUGAAUCUUAAUGUAAAACUGCAGUUCUCUCUCUGUAUUGGUAGAGCGUCGGAACCAGUGAGUACUUUUCAAAAAUAAGGAUGGAAACUCAGGAAAGUAAUACAAUGAGGAUUACGUUCUCAGCAGCAACUGCAUUUGCGGGCAAAAUUUAUUAUUGGUGCAAUAGGAAAGUAAUAAUACAGUAAACAUUCAUGAUUUGAACUUAUGAGUGAGUUUCUCUACGCUUUCCCUGCAAUCUUCUGCAACCCGCUUUGCACCUUCCUUCAUAGCCACACUAAACUCUGCAGUGCUUUGCUGCAACCCUUGUAUUGACCCUGUUGCCCUUUCUUUGAUGGCUAAACUAAAUUCCGAUGUGUUUUUCUGCAACUCUUCUAUUGAUCCCUUUGCCUUCGAGAUAGUGGCAUCUUUAAGUUCCUUCGCUUGUGCACUUGCCUUCAAAGCCCACUCCUUCAAAAGUGAAAUUAAGAUGAGUAUUUUCUGUAUAAUCUUAUGAAUCACCUCCUUAGAUUUCUCAUUUACAUUGCCUGCCAUUAGCUUGAGCUCGCCCACCAAUUUUUCAGCCCUGCUUACAGUUCCUUCAACAGAGAACUGCUUUGCUGCAGCAAGCCAUGUAACAUCAGCAGAACUCUCUUUGCGAAGAUCACUGUCCACUACUACUUUGAUGCCAUGCCUCUCCCAACGAUCUCUAGCUUCUUCAAUGGCUCUUGCAUGUUCUCUUGCUCUUUUUGCUUCGUCCUCUGCCCAAGCCCUGAAUCACAUGGUUUAAAAUGCAUAGAAGUUCAUAACUUGUUAUGGAUGAUUUUACAUGUUUGCAGUACCACUAUGUGUUAACACAAAUUGAUAAAGGAAUUCUGUGGACUUUAUUUGCCAAAUCAUAGGUCCUUGGUUAACUAAAGUUUGAGACAACAAAAAUUUAUCACCCUCAGAACUAGGGUAGUUGGGAAAAUAUAGUUCAAAUAUGAUAGUAUCAAACACAACUACAAAAAAGACAUUAGCUAAUUCAUUAUUUACAGAACAUCAUGAUGUGUGUGCAGGCAUCGAAGUAAAUUAAUUUUGAACAAAUGAGACGCAAGCCUGAUAUUGAGGGAAGUAAAAUCACAUCCUCUAAUUUACAAUCUCACCAAUGGGCUUUAGCUCUGUUGGUUUGAAGAUGUGCUGAAUUUAUUUCUAAGUACUUCUCAAGAACAGGAACAAGUGCAAAUUUCCGUUCUAUCUGGCAUCUGCUAAACCAGCUUAUUGUGAUUCAGCAAUUGUUUCCAAAAUUGGUUCAUGAAAGGCAAGAUCCUAUUUUUCUCUAUAGGUAAAACAAUAAGACUUGCUUUAAAUUUUUUAGUCAAUCCUAACUUAAAGUGGUCAAUAUGGUUUUCAGGCAUCCAUAAAUAGGCUAGAGCCCAAGACCUAUAUCAGCAUCCUAGUGGCAUGAUUGGUGAACAAAGGAUAUGUCAAAUAUCUGCAUUAGCUGAGCAACACCCAUCGUAUGGAUGAUGAAAUUAUAUCUUAUUACAUAUUGUCUACCAUCUUAAAUUUGUUUCUAUGUUAAUAUGCAGAUGGUUUUUGCUGUAUUGGCUUUAUAGCAUCCAUAUCACAUGCUGACUAUUUAUAACUGCUUCCUAGAAUCACAUUUAAUUUCUUUUACCUGGCCAUGGACAAGGCUUUUCGCUCAACCUCCAACUCAUACUGUAACUGGGAAAUCUCCUGCUUUUCAUUUUCUGCUUCUUUUUGAAGUUUGCUAAUCCUUUCCCUUUCAUAUGAUAUCUCCGCCUUGCUACUCAGAAGGCUUUGCAACUGUUCCUCCACUUCACUUCUUAACCUUGAAAGAACUUCCAUUUCCGCUUCAAUAGCAGCCCGCUCCUUCAUCAGGGCAAUAUUAUCUGCUUCCCUUUCAGCUCUUAACUUUUCUAAUUCAAGCCUUGCCUCUUCAGCCAUUUUCUCCACAGCAUUAAUUUUUUCUCCGUCCAUUGAAAGCUCCUUCUCAAAACUUGCAUUGAUAUCCUGCUCAACUUGGGCUACUAAAGCAUUAUGUGCAGACACAACAUUUUCUGCCACGGAUUCUGCUUCAAUACGUGCAAGCUCCUCAAUAACUAUGUCAGAUGCCUCACCAGUUGCAAGAGCUACAGCAGCUUGGGCCUUUGUAACAGGUUUAUCUGGCUGAAAUAAUCUUGUGCACCCAAAUGCAAGUGAUAUUAUUCCUUGAUCUCCUGCAGACAAGUCAGCUAUCAGUGCAGGCCAUGCAUCUGGGUUUAUUUUAUCAAUAUCUCUAAAACCAGAAAGUUGGUACAAAAUCUGUCCAUCAGCUUCUGGAAGUUGUCUUUUCUGCAGGGCCAUCUUCCAGCUCACAAGAUCCUGCCUUGAUAAAGGGCUUUCAGGAGAGAAGUAAAAUGGACCUUGUUCUUCAUCUGAAGAAGAAAACAAAUCAUGAUUUGAAAGCCUGCUUGAGAUAAGUCCUGCUUCAGCCAAACCUUGAAUUGAUGAAAAAUCAGGGUCAUCAGGUGUGAUAUCAUCAAAUGCUAGUUCAGUAGCAUUCUCUAUAUACAUUGCAGGAUAUACUUUUGAAAGCGUGUUCCUUCAAGCAACCAAAAGGCAAUCAUAAAACAAGUCCUAAACUUCCCAUAUGCACUUUAUAUUGCUAAUCAACUGCUGCAGUCACACUGUCAAGAAACGUCCAUACCUUGAAAGAGCACUGCUUGCGGCCACCAACCAACGGGCAUACUCACGACGUGUACACAAAUCACUAGGUAGAACAUCAGCUUCAAUAACCUUCAAAGCUUGCAGUGCGGCUAGUGCUAGUGCCUGAGCCUGAUCAACAACUGCAGGAACCAGAACCUUUUCAGGAGAAACCUGCAUAGCUUCAGAAACUGCAGAUGGAGCAGGUAUACCAGCAGACAAGAAGGAACUGCUGAAAGGUGUUGGUACAAAAGAUGUUCUGCUUCCAAUUGUCUCAUCACUAGAAACCACGUCUUGUCUGUUUGCAAAUGGAUAGGCUGACGGUGAAACAGAAGUGGUUCCAGAAUAUUCACUCUCGUUUAAGUAAUUCACUUCCAGGGAUGAAUUAUUUCUCUCAGUUGAGGCCGCUUGAGUUGUUUUGCCUGUGUCAAGAUUUUCUUCUGCUGGAUGUGAGGUUACAGUCUCCUUGUCAUCUUUAGGAAAAAUUCCAGGCUUUAUAGCAGCAUCCACUGUUUUAGUGACUGAAAUACUCACAUCCACAGGCUUACUGGAUUCAUGAACAGGGGAAUUAGAAGAAUCACAUAAAGGAUAGGAAUUCUCUUUUAACUCUGAGCUAGGCAAUCCUCCUUCAUGGUCAGUGAAAGGAUUUUUUAUAUUCAACAAAUCAGCAGGUUCGCCAUUGACCAAAUUUUGCUCAAUUUCAGAAAUUGAUUGAGGUAUACUUGCAGCUAGGCUAUCAUCAGCAAUUUCACUGUCAGGCAAAUUCAUUGAGUUGGGAAUCAUUUCUGGAGGAUCUGACUUGCCAUCAGAAACUGAUUCAUAUUGCAUAUGCUCCUGAAUGGGAGCCUUAUCAAUGGUAUCAUGGGAACUUACGUAUUUUUCAUUGUCUACCAAUGGGGUCUGACUCUGACUGUGACUGCUAACGCUGAGUUUAUUUUCAUUAGGUGCUUCAAAAAGUUCUGGAGAGGACAUGUGUUUUGGACUGCGAUGAUCUUGCUUCACACUGCUUUUCUCACUUUUAUUCUUCUCAAGUUCAUCAUCCUCCACAUUAGAGACCAGUGAAACUUCCUGGUGAGUAGUCAAUGGUUCCAUCUGUUGUUUUGGUCUCGAUGUGCUUUGUUUACUGAGAGACAACGCUGCCAAGGUAAGUCCUGCAACUAGGACGACACCAGCUACUCCAGCUCCCACAAUCCCUGGAAGCCAUUUCUGCCUCUGCGACUUGGACUCGGGAGAUUGAUCACCAUCAUCCGAAUCAGACCAACCUGCAAAAUUAUUAGCCGCAGCGCCUGAAGCAAUCAUGGAACAUCUGUCAUGAAGCCGUUCCACUCCAUUUCCAUUUUGAGCUGCACAUAGCACACGAAUUUGAGGAUCCAGCUUCCUCACCCGAGUCCGUAUCAGAAUUGCAGGCGAUCCCCUAAAGUUCCUGCUUUUCAUGGCCAAACGAAGCUUGAGAGAGGUUGGAGAGCAGAUGGAAGCCAUGGACGCCAUUGAGAGCUUGACAAAUAUGGAGUCAACUCGAAAUUAUUAGAGAGACGGGGGGUGGGGAGGAGAUAAGGAUUUGAAGGAGAAAUCUAGGUUUAAUUUUUCGGUUUAUUCUCUGCGUUGUGAGGACGAGUGAGUGAUCUUUCGAGUGCUCGUGUUUCAUUGUAUUUUCAUCAAAAUGUCAACAACCCACCGGGCGGACGCCUAACCAAUUUCCAACAGCCAACGGCCAACGCUAAGGCCUCGCACGCUGCCGUUUUGCACGGAGUUAAUAUCAUUUUCUAUAAAAUUCCACGGUGGACCAAUUGAAUACUCUUAUUUAUGAAUAUUGUCAAUUUUUAUAUUAAAUCAUACAUUUAAUAUGUGCUUGUAGUUAUAAUACAAGCAUAUGGAAACAGUUAUUAAAAAUAAUUUUCAUAGCGUUGCUUGUAUGUAGAACUCAUCAUAUUAAAGACAGAUUUCUCAGAUAAAUUUCAUUUCCUUUUCAUUACUAGGCAUUCAAAGGGAUUGAUACGCAAGUUGGGUACCAAAAGAUAAACAUUAAAUAAUUAACUUUCUACCAAUGUAUUUAAAAGGAUAGAACUUCCAAGUGAAU
rnacentral:misc_RNA from 1 species